UAAGGGAACUAUACCGCAAGUGCUCCACCUGAUCCCAUUCCGAACUCAGAAGUGAAAUCUUGCAAGGCCCAUGGUAGUCAAAUUUAUUUGGCGAGAGUAGGUAGUUCCCCUAU
rnacentral:rRNA from 1 species